UGCUAGUUUCUUGAGGGGGAGUGGGGCGGGAAUGUUAAAGAAAAAACAAACAUAAAUAAUCCAUAACCUUGAAUUAUUAAUAAUUUUCAAAAGUACAAUUUCUAGAUGCCAAGGCGAAGACUGCGAGGUAAGCAAGUGGCACAAUUUAAGAUGCACGACAGAUGACGACUGCAAUGAGCCACACGCCUUGUGCUAUGAACACCUGUGUCGGUGUGAACCCGGGUACUUCUAUACAACACAUGAUACGUGUACUAUCACAUGCAGCACAGACGAGUUCCAUGACACCUUUACAGAGUACCCAGACAGUGCUAUAGGUGGAAACCUCUUUGAAAGCGUGGACGGACACAGUCUGAAAGGCUGCAAGGACCAGUGCAUGUAUGACAUUGACAAGCGUUGUCUCACAGUUGAUUUCAAAGCCGAUGGAGGUCUCUGUCGGCUUCAUAGUGUCACCGCUCAUGAGUCUCCCUCAGACUGGACUCCUAAGACGAGUAAAGGCUGGACCCACUACCAGAUAUCCUGCAAUUCCACUUUUGCCUCACACCAUACCUGGUACAACUUACUGUGUCACACCAAAGUGAACUGUCCUGACCCAAACAGCGAUUGUUUGUCAGGCAGAUGCCAGUGUCCUUUAGGCUUCAAGUUCAUAGAAACCAAGAAGAAGUGUGUUGCUGCAAGCGUGCUAAGCAAGUGGCACAAUGUAAGAUGCACGACAGACAACGACUGCAAUGCGCCACACGCCGUGUGCUUUGAACACCUGUGUCGGUGUGACCCGG